rnacentral:rRNA from 1 species
AUUGAACGCUGGCGGCAGGCCUAACACAUGCAAGUCGAACGAGUGGCGGACGGGUGAGUAAUGUCUGGGAAUCUGCCUGCUGGUGGGGGCUCACUACUGGAAACGGUAGCUAAUACCGCAUACCAUCGGUUGUGCCCAGCUGGGAUUAGCUAGUAGGUGGGGUAACGGCUAACCUAGGCGACGAUCCCUAGCUGGUCUGAGAGGAUGACCAGCCACACUGGAAUGGAGACACGGUCCAGACUGCUACGGGAGGCAGAAGAGGGGAAUAUGGCACAAUGGGCGCAGGCCUGAUGCAGCCAUACCGCGUGGGGGAAGAAGGCCUUCGGGUUGUAAAGCCCUUUUGUUGGGAAAGCGGUACCCAAAGAAUAAGCACCGGCUAACUUCGUGCCAGCAGCCGCGGUAAUUC